rnacentral:misc_RNA from 1 species
UCCGGCUUAUCACCGGCAGUUUCUUCAGAGUGCUCAGCUUAACCUGUUAGCAACAGAAGACGAGGGUUGCGCUCGUUGCGGGACUUAACCCAACAUCUCACGACACGAGCUGACGACAGCCAUGCAGCACCUGUGCAUCUCCCAGCCGAACUGAAGGAUCGCCUUUCAGCAAUCCAUAGAGAGCAUGUCAAAUCCUGGUAAGGUUCUUCGCGUUGCCUCGAAUUAAACCACAUGUUCCACCGCUUGUGCGGGUCCCCGUCAAUUUCUUUGAGUUUUAAUCUUGCGACCGUACUCCCCAGGCGGGGUGCUUAACGCGUUAGCUACGCCACUGAGAGGUAACCCCCCAACGGCUAGCACCCAUCGUUUACAGCGUGGACUAC